rnacentral:rRNA from 1 species
GAUGAACGCUGGCGGCGUGCCUAAUACAUGCAAGUCGAGCGAACGGACGAGAAGCUUGCUUCUCUGAUGUUAGCGGCGGACGGGUGAGUAACACGUGGAUAACCUACCUAUAAGACUGGGAUAACUUCGGGAAACCGUAGCUAAUACCGGAUAAUAUUUUGAACCGCAUGGUUCAAAAGUGAAAGACGGUCUUGCUGUCACUUAUAGAUGGAUCCGCGCUGCAUUAGCUAGUUGGUAAGGUAACGGCUUACCAAGGCAACGAUGCAUAGCCGACCUGAGAGGGUGAUCGGCCACACUGGAACUGAGACACGGUCCAGACUCCUACGGGAGGCAGCAGUAGGGAAUCUUCCGCAAUGGGCGAAAGCCUGACGGAGCAACGCCGCGUGAGUGAUGAAGGGCUUCGGAUCGUAAAACUCUGUUAUUAGGGAAGAACAUAUGUGUAAGUAACUGUGCACAUCUUGACGGUACCUAAUCAGAAAGCCACGGCUAACUACGUG